rnacentral:rRNA from 1 species
UCGGGAAUAUUGGGCAAUGGAGGGAACUCUGACCCAGCCAUGCCGCGUGCAGGAUGAAGGCGUUAUGCGUUGUAAACUGCUUUUAUAUAGGAAGAAAUAGUCCUUGCGAGGAAAGUUGACGGUACUAUAUGAAUAAGCACCGGCUAACUCCGUGCCAGCAGCCGCGGUAAUACGGAGGGUGCAAGCGUUGUCCGGAUUUAUUGGGUUUAAAGGGUGCGUAGGCGGUUUAUUAAGUCAGUGGUGAAAGACGGUCGCUCAACGAUUGCAGUGCCAUUGAUACUGGUAGACUUGAGUAUGAUUGAGGUAGCUGGAAUGGAUAGUGUAGCGGUGAAAUGCAUAGAUAUUAUCCAGAACACCAAUUGCGUAGGCAAGUUACUAAGUCAUAACUGACGCUGAGGCACGAAAGUGUGGGUAUCAAACAGGAUUAGAUACCCGAGUAGUCCCUGAGCGGGCUGGCAAGGCGCAU